AUGGCGACCGGCGCACGGGUGAGUAGCGCGUAUGCAACCUGCCCGAUACCGGGGUAUAGCCCAUGGAAACGUGGAUUAACACCCCAUAGUACUUUUAUCCUGCCUGGGAUGGGAGUUAAAUGUUCAAGGUAUCGGAUGGGCAUGCGUCCUAUUAGUUAGUUGGCGGGGUAACAGCCCACCAAGACGAUGAUAGGUAGGGGUUCUGAGAGGAAGGUCCCCCACAUUGGAACUGAGACACGGUCCAA
rnacentral:rRNA from 1 species